AGCUUGGAAGCAGCUAUUCAUUCAAAGAGUGCGUAACAGCUCACUAGUCGAGCGGCAAAGCGUGGAUAAUAAACGGGCAUCAAGUAUACCACCGAAGUUCUGGGCACGAAAGUGCGGUAGGGGAGCAUUCCAUUGACGUCGAAGCCAUUCCGCGAGGAUAGGUGGAGUUUAUGGAAAAGCAAAUGUAGGCAUGAGUAACGAUAAUGCGGGAGAGUAACCCGCACACCGCAAGACCAAGGUUUCCUGAUCAACGCUAAUCGGAUCAGGGUUAGUCGGGUCCUAAGGGUAAGCCGAACGGCGAUCUCGAUGGAUAAUCGGUUAAUAUUCCGAUACUAACAUAUACCUCGAUGGAGAGACGAAGGAACGUAAGUGCCGCCACCUGACGGAAUAGGUGGUUAAAGGGCGUAGGUAUAGGGGCAGAUUAAGAGUUAGUCCUUGCUGAAACCUGACAGUACAGAGAGCCUACGGGCAAUUUGAUAGAGCACCCAAGUCGACUUCCGAGAAAAUCUUCUAAGUUAUAGUAUAUGUUACCCGUACCGUAAACCGACACAGGUGGUCGAGGAGAGUAUCCUAAGGUGCUCGAGUGAAUCACGGUUAAGGAACUAGGCAAAUUAACCCCGUAACUUCGGGAAAAGGGGUCCCUAUGAAAGUAGGGCGCAGCGAAGAGGUCCAGGCGACUGUUUAUCAAAAACACAGGGCUCUGCAAAUUCGAAAGAAGACGUAUAGGGCCUGACACCUGCCCGGUGCUGGAAGGUUAAGAGGGGAUGUCAUCGCAAGAGAAGCAUUGAAUCGAAGCCCCAGUAAACGGCGGCCGUAACUAUAACGGUCCUAAGGUAGCGAAAUUCCUUGUCGGGUAAGUUCCGACCUGCACGAAUGGUGUAACGAUCUGGACACUGUCUCAACCGUGAGCUCGGUGAAAUUGUAGUCCCGGUGAUGAUGCCGGGUACCCGCAACGGGACGAAAAGACCCCGUGAACCUUUACUAUAGCUUAACGCUGAAUUUGGGUACACAAUGUGUAGGAUAGGCCGGAGGCUUUGAAGCGGGCACGCCAGUGUUCGUGGAGCCGACGUUGAAAUACGGCCCUUUGUGUAUUUGAGUUCUAACCCUGCGAAGGGGACACCGUUUGGUGGGUAGUUUGACUGGGGUGGUCGCCUCCAAAAGCGUAACGGAGGCUUCCCAAGGUACCCUCAGCACGAAUGGUAACCGUGCGCGGAGUGCAAUAGCAUAAGGGUGCUUGACUGUGAGACAUACAAGUCGACCAGGUACGAAAGUAGGGUAUAGUGAUCCGGUGGUUCUGCGUGGACUGGCCAUCGCUCAAAGGAUAAAAGGUACUCCGGGGAUAACAGGCUGAUCGCCGCCAAGAGCUCAUAUCGACGCGGCGGUUUGGCACCUCGAUGUCGGCUCGUCACAUCCUGGGGCUGGAGAAGGUCCCA
rnacentral:rRNA from 1 species